CUUUCUCCGCCGGCGACCGGCGCACGGGUGAGUAACACGUAUGCAACCUGCCCCUGUCAGGGGGACAACCCGCCGAAAGGCGGGCUAAACCCGCGUACAUGCCACCGGGGCAUCCCGGAGGCAGGAAGGCUUCGGCCGGACAGGGAUGGGCAUGCGGCGCAUUAGGCAGUAGGCGGGGUAACGGCCCACCUAACCGACGAUGCGUAGGGGUUCUGAGAGGAAGGUCCCCCACACUGGUACUGAGACACGGACCAGACUCCUACGGGAGGCAGCAG
rnacentral:rRNA from 1 species